GCUUGUCUCAAAGAUUAAGCCAUGCAUGUCUAAGUAUAAAUGUUAUACAGUGAAACUGCGAAUGGCUCAUUAAAACAGUUAUAGUUUAUUUGAUAAUCGAAUUUACAUGGAUAACCGUGGUAAUUCUAGAGCUAAUACAUGCAUCAAUCCCCGACUUCCUGGAAGGGGUGUACUUAUUAGAUGGAAACCAAUGCGGGGCAACCCGGAUUCUGGUGAUUCAUAAUAAUUAUCGGAUCGAUCGUAUGAUCGAUGCAUCAUUCAAGUUUCUGCCCUAUCAGCUUUGGAUGGUAGGGUAUUGGCCUACCAUGGCAUUAACGGGUAACGGAGAAUUAGGGUUCGAUUCCGGAGAGGGAGCCUGAGAAAUGGCUACCACAUCCAAGGAAGGCAGCAGG
rnacentral:rRNA from 1 species